rnacentral:rRNA from 1 species
CUUCGGAAGCUGGGUUAGUGGCGCACGGGUGCGUAACGCGUAUGCAACCUACCUUCCACUGGGGGAUAGCCCUCCGAAAGGAGGAUUAAUACCGCAUGACACUACUUGAGGGCAUCCGAAGGUAGUCAAAGCUGAGGCGGUGGAAGAUGGGCAUGCGUGCCAUUAGCUAGUUGGUAGUGUAAGGGACUACCAAGGCGACGAUGGCUAGGGGUUCUGAGAGGAUGGUCCCCCACACUGGUACUGAGACACGGACCAGACUCCUACGGGAGGCAGCAGUAGGGAAUAUUGGGCAAUGGCCGAGAGGCUGACCCAGCCAUGCCGCGUGCAGGAAGAAGGCCUUCUGGGUUGUAAACUGCUUUUGUACGGGAAGAAAACGCCCCUGCGGGGGUAACUGACGGUACCGUACGAAUAAGCACCGGCUAACUCCGUGCCAGCAGCCGCGGUAAUACGGAGGGUGCAAGCGUUGUCCGGAUUUAUUGGGUUUAAAGGGUGCGUAGGCGGCCCGUUAAGUCAGCGGUGAAAGCCCGGGGCUCAACCCCGGAACUGCCGUUGAUACUGGCGGGCUUGAGUUCGGUCGAGGCGGGCGGAACUGGCGGUGUAGCGGUGAAAUGCAUAGAUACCGCCAAGAACCCCGAUUGCGAAGGCAGCUCGCUGGGCCGAAACUGACGCUGAGGCACGAAAGCGUGGGGAGCGAACAGGAUUAGAUACCC